CCACCUUACAGCCUCUGCUCCACUCCCUUCGCGGCAGAGUGGUUCAGGAACAGUCUGCAUCCUCCUGCCAGGAGGCCAGGAAAAGCCACUCCUGGCUGUGGGCAGCUAUGAGGCUCUUGGUGGACCUCAGAACUCUGUGGGGGCCAGAGGGCUGAGUGAGUCAGGCUGUGGAGGGCAGGCACCAUCCACACUCCCAGACACUUUGGGUUAUAGUCUCUCUCUUCCUUGAUUAGAAGAGGCCUGGGAACUUCAGCUGGCGACUCUGGUGUUUCUGACUUUGGCUAUCAGCAAACACUGCUGGAGGCUCUGCCCCGUCCACACCCAGCUUCUGUGAGCACGGAGGAGGCAUAAUCUGCAAAGUCUGACACAGGCCAUGCCUAACCAUCCUUGACUGGCUACCUCCAGUGACAUAAAGCUGAGAAGCAAAGACGCCCAGGAGGCAAGGCUGCAGUCAUUUAGGAGAGUGGACGGAUGCCAGGGCUGUGCUGCCUGCAGCCUUUGUGGGGCUCAGUGACCAGAGGAGCAGCCCAUGCCAAGCCUAGUCCCCAGGGAUGCUGCCUGCGGUGCUCACACAUCUUAUACAGGGACACAGAGGAACUCUGGGCUCCACCCUGCAGCCUCUGCUCCAGCAUGCGGUGGUCCCAGGAGAUGUAGAACCAGCCCUUCCUCUGCAGUUGCACUGGGACUGGACUUCACUGUGGGAACAACAAGAUCAACAAGACGAGCAAGAACAACAUCAAGAGUCAGGGCCCGGGGGUCCUGACGGGUACAGGACGGGUACAGACCCACACAGGAAUCCCAGAGUGUGUUCCACAGCAGGACAUGCCUGCGCUGAAAGAGUAGGCAGAAAGGAGCUGACCUGGGAUUAUGAUCCAAACUCAGCUGGGCCUCCCCUACCUGCCCCAGGAAUGUGGAGUGAGAACGUUGCAGCAGGGGAGAACAACGCAGCAAAGCACAGCAGGGGAACUGGAAAUGCUCACCCUUUGACAGGGUACUUUUAGUUCUGGGGCCUUAUCUUAAGGAUAUUCGAACAUAUACAAAAAGAUUCAUGCACAGAGAUAUUUACUUUAGUAUUAUUUACCAUAGGAAAAAAGUUGGAAACAAUACAUUUUAUGUUCUGUAAAAUGAAAGAACAGUUAAAUAAAUCAUGGCUCUAAGACAACUCCAGGGCUGUGUACGGAAGUUCAGGGACAGAAUCAGUUGAGGCUGUUCCACCUGAGCCUCAGCUUCCUCUGCUGUAUGUCGGGAAUCAGGUGGGGGCCAAGCGAGAUCACCACAGUGCAGGCCAGUGUGCAGGGCACAGGUGGGCGCCAGGGAGGGGAUGCCGCACAGCCCCAUGCUCUCACCAAAAACGUGCAGAACAAUUUGGAAGAAAACAUUUCCAUCUGUUAAUAAAGAGCAACAGCCUCCGGUCAUAAGUGAC